AAGUACCUAAAAUCAAGCAUCAAAAUAAUAAACACUAUAAGUUUUAAGACAUAAUUUCUGGCGAAAAAAGCAAGAGCAAAGCCCGUGAGUUCGUGAUUGCGAUCGCAUGAACCUUUUCUGACUACUCGUGCCCUAUAUCGUGGUUUAUUGGUAGGUGGACUUGGGGAGAUAUGCAGCCCGGAUUCAAAAACACUCCACUACACUUCACCUUAUGGUCACAUGAAUAUAAAUCCAUACUUUAGGCUCCAUUUGAAUAUCCAGAGAAAAGUUUAUCCAUGGACUGCAUUUCAUUUUCAAGAUUAAUUGAACCCUUAUGUAAAUCUAGGAUAUUCUUAGAUUAAUUAAAAAUUAUGCAGAAGUCCUACUGGAGUGAUACAUGAACUCUGUCCUCACUUAGAGUUCGGAUAGGGGAUCUCUCGCAUGGUCCAAGUCUACCAAAAACAAAAAUGUUCAAACUCGACGACUGAGUAAUGUUAUUUAGAAUUGAAGGCUGGAAGGUGUCCUCGAGGUAUUGGACAUUAAUUUCCUGAAAGUUCUUAGAAUCAGAGUUU
rnacentral:lncRNA from 1 species